rnacentral:rRNA from 1 species
GACGAACGCUGGCGGCGUGCUUAACACAUGCAAGUCGAACGAUGAAGGAGAGCUUGCUCUCCGGAUUAGUGGCGAACGGGUGAGCAACACGUGACUAACCUGCCCCUUUCUCUGGGAUAACGCUCCGAAAGGAGUGCUAAUACCGGAUACGAACUCUGAACACAUGUUCGGAGUUGGAAAGUUUUUCGGAAAGGGAUGGAGUCGCGGCCUAUCAGCUUGUUGGUGAGGUAACGGCUCACCAAGGCGACGACGGGUAGCCGGCCUGAGAGGGCGACCGGCCACACUGGGACUGAGACACGGCCCAGACUCCUACGGGAGGCAGCAGUGGGGAAUAUUGCACAAUGGGCGAAAGCCUGAUGCAGCGAUGCCGCGUGAGGGAUGAAGGUCUUCGGAUUGUAAACCUCUUUCAGUAGGGACGAAGCGAAAGUGACGGUACCUAAAGAAGAAGCACCGGCUAACUACGUGCCAGCCGCCGCGGUAA